UACGGAGGGUGCGAGCGUUGUCCGGAAUCACUGGGCGUAAAGGGCGCGUAGGUGGCGUCGCAAGUCAACGGUGAAAGCUCGACGCUCAACGUCGAGUCGGCUGUCGAGACUGCGAGGCUCGAGCACUGUAGAGGCAGAUGGAAUUCCGGGUGUAGCGGUGGAAUGCGUAGAGAUCCGGAAGAACACCGGUGGCGAAGGCGGUCUGCUGGGCAGUUGCUGACACUGAGGCGCGACAGCGUGGGGAGCAAACAGG
rnacentral:rRNA from 1 species